UUCCAAGUCCGUCUUCUUUAGCAAUCCCAUACUGCUUUAUUGCCAAAGCUUAAAGCUGAGCCCUAAUUUACUCCAUAAUCUGCAAAUUCUGCUCUUAUUAUACACCAACUACAUAUGCACAUACAGCUAGAUUCACCCAUCUAUAGAUAGCAUGUAAUACGAUACAAUAUUGUUAUUAAGUGUGUGUAUGAGAAGAAUGGAGAACGGUGGUUUGAAUCGAGGGAAAAUCGCUGUGGAGGAUAUGAUAUCUAAGCUCAAAGACGACGGGGAUUACGAUCGGCUCCGUCUCAAAAUCGUCCGAAAAGUCAGAGAUGAUGAGGAUUUGCGGAAUAGCAUCAUGUCGACUUUGAGGCAAUCAGAAGCACUUAAUUGUCCAAGUGCAAAAAGAAUGAAACCAAGGCAGCUUUCUGAUGCCAUAUAUCAAGAAGUUGGGACUAAAGUCAUGAGUGAAAUUUCUGACGGUAUCUGGAAGGUAAUUAGAUCCGGGGAAGGCAUGAACAAUGAAAUAACCGAAACAGUACAAUCCGUUUACAAUAAGUUAGUAAACCCAAAUGUAAAUGAAGAAGGUCAAACAUCUUAUGGGCCAAACUUGCACUCAGCUGAGAAGGGAGUUGAAAGUAAUGGUCAUGCUACUUCUUCAGCAUGUGAAACCAAUGGUACACUAUCUAAUAGUGCGCCAAAUGAAACUCCUGGUUUAGCUAGGUCCGAUUUAGGUCAGAAUAGCAAAAAUAACCACAGGGAACCAGGGAUGCCUGUGCCAAAUGAUUGUAAAGCAAGAGAGGAAUACAAGUUAGAGAUCCAAGGCUCAGCACAUUGUUCAGAUCCCAACGAUGAGGAUACAAAUGCACCUCCUCCUGGGUUUUCUAAUGUCAUGGAGCAUAAGCAGUCAAGUGAUGUCAAUGAUGAAGACCCUGAUGUACCUCCAGGUUUCGGUUAAUGUUUCUAUUCUCAAUGGUCAACAAGAUUUUAGCCAUGACAUGAGCAUAUCAUUGUUGUAUCAAUUAUUAGAGCUCAUACUGGAACUCAUCAAAGAGCUGACAAUGUUUAUGAACCAAGGAGAUAGUGGCCUGGAAUCGACAAACCCAAAUGCUAAAUGCACACAUACCCUGUUGAUUGCUCCAAUAGAAGCUUGAUUAGAAGGCAAAUCACUACUUGAAUAGGAACAAGGAAGAAGGAUGGUUACUGGUUCAGUGGUUGGACCUCGAUCCCUCGUGCUUCAUGGACUCCAUAACAAUGCCAAAUCAUAAUUCUUCAGAAAAUUUUCAUCACCGAAAUGAAGGACACCAAACUUUGUGCACUAGGGGGAUUGGUCCAUAUUAUACCAAUUGGACUUCGUACGCGUAAGAGCUACUGAGUUAUGUCUUGACCCAGAAAAGUGAUAGGACUGAAGAAAAUGAAUUGGUGUAAUGAAUCAUUUUUGGAAUCAUGUGUCUUGAUUUUAUUAGAGGAAAAAGAGAAAGGAAUAUUUUUUUUUUGAAUGAAUUAAAGUGUCAUAUUGGUAGGGGGUAAAAAAUUGAGAGUAUGUGAGUGGUUAACAACCCAUUACAAAAGCAGCAAACCAUGGUUAUGAUGCAGCGCUUUAAGGUUUUGAAAGUAUUUUUCGUUGUGGAUGUUUGGUUCCUGACUUCUUGGUGGAUUUUAUUUCAAUGUAUAUAUGUA